ensembl:snoRNA
AUUCUUUUGUAGUUCUAAGCGUGAUGAUUGGGUGUUCAUGCUGUUGCGUGAGAUGUUCCUCCCUCAAACCUUGUUAUGACAUCAGCACAUUACCUGUCUGAUG